rnacentral:rRNA from 1 species
CACGUAGGGUGCGAGCGUUGUCCGGAAUUAUUGGGCGUAAAGAGCUCGUAGGCGGCCAGUUGCGUCUGCUGUGAAAUCCCGGGGCUCAACCCCGGGCGUGCAGUGGAUACGGGCUGGCUAGAGGCAGGCAGGGGAGAACGGAAUUCCCGGUGUAGCGGUGAAAUGCGCAGAUAUCGGGAGGAACACCGGUGGCGAAGGCGGUUCUCUGGGCCUGUACUGACGCUGAGGAGCGAAAGCGUGGGGAGCGAACAGG